GAAUCCCAAAGACAGAAGAGCCUGUCGAGCCCGUCCAUAGGGUCGCAAAGAGUCCGACAUGACUGGGCAACUUAACACUUACCUUCCCUUCAACACGGUGAUUAUGCAUGAUCAUUAUUCUGCCCCCAUCCCUUGCUCGUGAUGGUUCUUAAAUUUAUUGACAUAGUGUUCUCCUUUGUCGUCCUGGCUCUCCCAGGAAAGCAGAGGUCAUCAAACAGGGUGACCAACAUGCCAACAGAGGCGCCGGCGACAAUCGAUGGAGGGAAUCCGAGAGGGAAGGGGUCGGGGGACUUGGUGGAGGAGGCUGCUGAUAAACUCCCAGAGGUCCCCACUAGAGUUAUCAAUCAAGGAUAACAGACACAGUGCCUAGAACUCUCCAGAAUGUUUACAUUAAAAUUUGAGAUCAGAAAAAAUAUGAUAAUAAAUGUAACGAUAAAUCCAGCCUGGAUUAUAUUUGUGUUUUAUAGCAGCAAAACAUAAUUUAAAGAAAAUUUUUUUAAAUGCAUAAAGGGGCCCACAAAGACGAAGUGCAUAAGGCGCGGGACAGUCAUAAUUCAGUCCUGGGUACGGUUUACACUUUCCGCUUUAAAAAUAGAAUGGAUAUCCAGAUAUUUGUAUGAGACCUCUUGAUUUUACAUAUUAGGAACUCGCUUUAAACAAAACAUACAUUGUGUGGCCCAACAAAAGACGUGGAACCUAGCCUGCAGCCUCUUGAAGACUCGGGCUAUCAUCGUGUCCCCGGAACGCCCGUGGCUUGCCAAGAUUUCGGGGACACUUCUUCAGCCUGAGUGCCCGAGCACCCCACUCAGGACAGAGUAAGGGGCAGUAGAAAGCCUUCGGGACACAACAAGGGUCUGACGGUAAAAUCCCCGCCCCGUCCGGUGUUGGAAGCUCGAAGGCCACUUCAGCCCCGGCACUCUCUGGAGCCUCAACCGGCGGUCGCCGGCUUCUCUCUUUCGCGGGUUUCCCGGCUCCCACCGACUUCCAGGGAGCGCAGGUUAGGGGGUAGAGUCUUCCCGCUCACCAGGCAGGCUGGAGCAGGGGGCAGGGACAGUAGUCCGGGACAUCUACGGCCCCGGAGCCCAGGCCGCCCCAUCCCUCGCAACAGGGCCCGCCCGCCGGCCGCAGCCUGUCUCCUGGGUGAGACCGGCUCCUCGCGGGGUCUGCUCCCGGCAGGCGAAGCUCCACACCGAGGAUUCGGAGGUGGUUUUCAGACCGCCGCGGCCAGGGCUCCUCCUCCCGCGCUGCUCAGGGAGGCGGGCUGAGCUCUUUACAAGGCCCGGCCACACGACCCCGCCAUUCCAGACGGCGACUUCCGCAGCCUCCCCGCCUUAACUCGGCCGGGAGCUCCUGGACCGGAAGCUGCGGGGUCUCGGGGCCCCGGCUAGUUCCCGCCGUGCCGAGCCGAAGGUGCGCAUGCUCCGCAGAGGCCCGCACGGGGCCUGAGUAAACCCUGAUAGAGCCAUCGCGAGGCGGGGUUAUUGCUGGAAUGAUGGUGGUUUGGGGAACUCUUUUUCUGGUGAGGCGGUGAAGUGGGAAGGUGAUAAUUUAAAAAUUGCUUUCUUGAUAUAUCGUUGGAGA